rnacentral:lncRNA from 1 species
UAGCUUAACACAAUUUUUUUUGCAAAACAGAUUUAUUUGUCUUGAAAUCCUGUUCUUAUCAUGCUUACAUUUGCAACUUAGAUGUUGAAAUUCUAUUAAACAAAUUGACUUUAAAUGUUGAAGAAAUUAUUAUUAAUAUAUUAUGGUAUAUGGAAUUUUUUGAAUGAUAAUAUCAUAAUAAUUGGAAAUAUAGGUAUUUUCUUAAUAAAAAAAAUCUCAUUCUUUUUGAAGAUCAUUCUUCCUAAUUAAAUGUUUCAAUUUUAAGUAAUAGUUUUACAAAAUUUAACAUAUGCUCAAUCAUAAUAUAUUAUACUGACAGAACUUAUAAAAAAUAAUUAGAGCUAUAAGUAGUUUCUACAUGAUUGAAGAGGUAAAGCUUAUAAUCUAUAAUAAGAAUAUUAAAUUUAACCAUUUUAUUAAUAAAUUCAACAUAUUAAUUUGAAUUUGUAGAACAACAAGCAAUACUACAAUUCUUUGUUAUUGAUAUGAAGAGUAUGUAAAGACCAUUGAAAAUACAUUUGAAAAUGAAUUUAUGAUUCAUUUUCAAAUUCCACUUUUAAACAAACAUAUAUUGAAAUAAUUGAUUAUUGAUAUCAAGAAAAUGGAGAUGAAAGUAUAUGUUUCAUGUUACAUACCU